rnacentral:rRNA from 1 species
GAUGAACGCUGGCGGCGUGCCUAAUACAUGCAAGUCGAGCGAAGCGGGGACGGGUGAGUAACUCGUGGAUAACCUCCUAUAAGACUGGGAUACCUUUGGGAAACCGGAGCUAUACCGCAUACUUAUAGAUGGAUCCGCGCUGCAUGAGCUAGUUGGUAAGGUAACGGCUUACCAAUGCAACGAUUCAUAGCCGACCUGAAAGGGCGCUCGGCCACACUGUAACUGAGACACGGUCCAGACUCGUACGGGAGGCAGCAGUAGGGAAUCUUCCGCAAUGGGCGAAAGCCUGACGUAGCAACGCCGCGUGAGUGAUGAAGGUCUUCGGAUCGUAAAACUCUGUUAUUAGGGAAGCGGUACCUAAUCAGAAAGCCACGGCUAACUACGUGCCAGCCGCCGCGGUAAUUC